rnacentral:rRNA from 1 species
UCAUCACUACGCUAGAUGCAUAUCAAUAAGCGGAGGAAAAGAAACUAACAAGGAUUCCCUCAGUAACGGCGAGUGAAGCGGGAAGAGCUCAAAUUUGAAAUCUUCAAGGUUCUACCUUGACGAAUUGUAGUUUAAAGAAGUGUUUUCUGUUGGAGUUUUGGUAAAAGUUCUUUGGAAUAGGACAUCAUAGAGGGUGAGAAUCCCGUAUUUGACCAUUAUUUCCAACUUUGUGAUACACUUUCAAAGAGUCGGAUUGUUUGGGAGUGCAGUCCAAAAUGGGUGGUAAAUUUCAUCGAAAGCUAAAUAUUGGCGAGAGACCGAUAGCGAACAAGUACCGUGAGGGAAAGAUGAAAAGAACUUUGAAAAGAGAGUUAAACAGUACGUGAAAUUGUCAAAAGGGAAGCGUUUGACACCAGUGUUGUUUUCUCGAAAAUCAAUUAAAAAAGUCUGGAUUUUGUGUUGUAUUGACCUUAACAGCUUUCUUCACUCUUUUCUUGUCUUUUUAAUGCACUUUUCGUUUAACAAGUCAACAUCAGUUUCUUUUGUCGUAAAAGGGUCAUUGGAAGGUGGCUUUCUUUUCGGAGAAAGUGUUUAUAGCCUUUGAUCUCUGCAACCGGAGAGACUGAGGUCUGCAGCGUAGACUCUUCGGGGUUAGAUACAUUUGUGCUAAGCUAUAGCUUUUUAUAGACAACUUGUUGACUAUAUUUAGUCUUGUGGCUUACUCGCUUAUGCUAUUUUACCUACGCUUAGGAUGUUGACACACGCGCGUGCUCG